rnacentral:rRNA from 1 species
UACGUAGGGUGCGAGCGUUGUCCGGAAUUAUUGGGCGUAAAGGGCUCGUAGGCGGCCUGUCGCGUCGGGAGUGAAAGCCCACUGCUUAACGGUGGGUCUGCUUUCGGUACGGGCGGGCUAGAGUAUGGCAGGGGAGACUGGAAUUCCUGGUGUAGCGGUGGAAUGCGCAGAUAUCAGGAGGAACACCGGUGGCGAAGGCGGGUCUCUGGGCCAUUACUGACGCUGAGGAGCGAAAGCGUGGGUAGCAAACAGG